UACAGAGGUCUCGAGCGUUAGGCGGAAUCACUGGGCUUAAAGCGUGUGUAGGCGGGUCGUUAAGUGCCUUGUGAAAUCCCAUGGCUCAACCAUGGAACUGCUGGGCAUACUGGCGAUCUUGUGCCACCUAGGGGCGAGCGGAACAGAUGGUGGAGCGGUGAAAUGCGUAGAUAUCGGGAGGAACACCAAUGGCGAAGGCAGCUCGCUGGGACGUGACUGACGCUGAGACGCGAAAGCGUGGGGAGCAAACAGG
rnacentral:rRNA from 1 species